AAAAAGACCACCAGCAGCAGACAGAUCAAAGUCAGGGAUUCCUAAACUGGGAAUUAUAGCCAGCUGUAGCAUACCAGUAGAGCCUUCCAGGCACCACAAAUACUUGCAGCUUCAGAGAAUCAGCUUGCAAAAUCCUAACUGGACAAGCUCAUCCUCCCGGUUCCAUCUGGAUUGUGGCAUAAAUACAAAAGAGAACAGAAAUCCCUGCUGAGUUCAAGUAACUUCAAACAGGUAGAUCACAGCUAUCAGUGUCAGUAGAAGGAACAGGCUUUACUGAAGGAAAACCCCUGCUGAGGGGCAUAAAUGCCCGCUAUGACUACCACUGCUAAUUGCCUGGAUUUUUCUUCUGAGCAGUUAGCUUUUUGUGAAGCAUGUGGUUACAGCUGAUGUCUUGGUGAUACUUCCAAAACUGGGAGGAUGACUUUAAGACGCUCAUCUGUGUGUUAGUUUCAUUUUGAAGAUUUGUUAUUUUCUAUUAAAACUGGACAUUUAAGCAUUCAUUUUUGGGAGAACCUUGCAUAUCAUCUCUUUGUGAGCUCAAGUUUGCCUUUUUCUCUGAAACACUGUCCUAAAGAUCUGAAAACAGAAUAUUCAUCCAUACUAUGGUUCUCAUGAUCUGCUCAAUACAUCAUAAAAUUUGAUGUUUUCUUGGGAUAAGUGACAAUAAAGUAUAUAGGUGUUAUAAUAUAUGGUAUGUUAGUUAAUCCAAUUUCAUGGACAAGUAAACAGAAAAGGAAAUAAUGAGUCUAUUUCAGAUUCUUUUUCAUCUUACUUUAAAUGCAGCAAAAAUUAAUCUAAAACUGUAUAGGCAGACAGUUUUCUAUAAUUUUUGUAGUAUUUCAUAUUUGAGAUUAGGUAGUGAUACCUUCAUUAUUGCUUUUUUGCUAAAUUACAUCAGAAAGUAAAAUAUUAAAUAUAGGGUAGGAAAUAGUGUGGAAAUUGCUCCAGGAAUUCAGUAGCAUCUUUAACACUGCUGUAAAACAUAAGGGAUCUAGUCUUAUUAGGUUAAGAUUCUUUCAUCUCUAAUUAAUUACAAAAAGGCUUCAGGGUUUCCUUUU